AUGAAAUGUUAUUUGCUGCCAACACAUUGCAGUAAAGAAAGACUGUUCUACCUGGAAAUAGAUGAGAAAAAUAAAGUGAAGAGUCACUUUCAGAAACGUGCCAGGUUUGCAAGGCAUCUGCUCCUGUGGGGAUGGGAUGCUGUGCCAGGAUGUGCUUCUGGAAGGGGAGCUCAGCCCACUCACUGGUCCAGCCCAGUGGAAGAGGAGUGCAGCUACAAGAUGUGUGGAGAGCAGAAUGCUGCAAGGAAUGAAGAAAAUAAGAAAUAG
rnacentral:lncRNA from 12 species